rnacentral:rRNA from 1 species
UGGAGUGAUUUGUCUGCUUAAUUGCGAUAACGAACGAGACCUUGACCUGCUAAAUAGCCCGAUUGACUUUUGUCGGUCGCUGGCUUCUUAGAGGGACUUUUGGCUCAAGCCAAUGGAAGUACGAGGCAA